rnacentral:rRNA from 1 species
GGGUCCAACCUCCCACCCGUGUUUAUUUUACCUUGUUGCUUCGGCGGGCCCGCCUUAACUGGCCGCCGGGGGGCUUACGCCCCCGGGCCCGCGCCCGCCGAAGACACCCUCGAACUCUGUCUGAAGAUUGUAGUCUGAGUGAAAAUAUAAAUUAUUUAAAACUUUCAACAACGGAUCUCUUGGUUCCGGCAUCGAUGAAGAACGCAGCGAAAUGCGAUACGUAAUGUGAAUUGCAAAUUCAGUGAAUCAUCGAGUCUUUGAACGCACAUUGCGCCCCCUGGUAUUCCGGGGGGCAUGCCUGUCCGAGCGUCAUUUCUGCCCUCAAGCACGGCUUGUGUGUUGGGCCCCGUCCUCCGAUCCCGGGGGACGGGCCCGAAAGGCAGCGGCGGCACCGCGUCCGGUCCUCGAGCGUAUGGGGCUUUGUCACCCGCUCUGUAGGCCCGGCCGGCGCUUGCCGAUCAACCCAAAUUUUUAUCCAGGUUGACCUCGGAUCAGGUAGGGAUACCCGCUGAACUUAAGCAUAUC